rnacentral:rRNA from 1 species
CCUACGGGAGGCAGCAGUGGGGAAUAUUGCACAAUGGGGGAAACCCUGAUGCAGCGACGCCGCGUGAGUGAAGAAGUAAUUCGUUAUGUAACGCUCUAUCAGCAGGGAAGAAAAUGACGGUACCUGAGUAAGAAGCCCCGGCUAACUACGUGCCAGCAGCAGCGGUAAUAAGUAGGGGGCAAGCGUUAUCCGGAUUUACUGGGUGUAAAGGGAGCGUAGACGGCAGUGCAAGUCUGGAGUGAAAGGCGGGGGCUCAACCCCCGGACUGCUCUGGAAACUGUACGGCUGGAGUGCAGGAGAGGUAAGUGGAAUUCCUAGUGUAGCGGUGAAAUGCGUAGAUAUUAGGAGGAACACCAGUGGCGAAGGCGGCUUACUGGACUGUAACUGACGUUGAGGCUCGAAAGCGUGGGGAGCAAACAGGAUUAGAUACCCCGGUAGUC